CUGCAGAUUCUCAAACGGGUCCAAACAGUUAUUAGGUUAACAUGGAUACGGAACACACCAUAUAUUGAUAGGUAAAUUAGAUUGGUAGAUGAACUUACUGUAUUAUUCAAAGAGGCAGCACUGAGAACGGCACGUGAAGAAAUUAGAACAGAUAUUCUUGAUAUAUUGAUCAUGCUUCAGCAAUGCAAAGGUCAACAGUUUGAAGCAGCCUGGGACAAGCACAAAGAUGAUCCAGACUUGACCACCCUUGCCCGUAAUCUAUCAAGCGAACCAACGUUGAAAGAAGAGUGCGAUACCAGCUGUGUGGCUCUCCUGGGGUUUCAGAACCAUUGAGAAUUCAAUGAGAUAUAUUUUCCCAUGGUUCUACUUGGCUCCCAAGAUUGAAGAGGAGGGUACUGGACCUAAAGCGGAGGCCAAGCAGAAAGUAGAGAGAAAACCUAAGAUGAAGAUCAAACCUGGGAGGAGAUUGAAUCGAAGAGGCCGGUGAAAUGAAGUUGGAAACGAUUGGCAUGGAUGAUGAAAAUGAGGCAAAGGUGGAGACAAAGCCUAAGCCUGAGAUAAAGCCUAAAGAGGAGACAGAACUGAUGAAACUAUGCCUCAAGUAGAAGCCAGGGCAGAGGUUGAAGUUAUAGACAUUGAGGACGUGCAGAUGUUAGGAACUUAGUGAUGAUAUGUACGGAACAAUGGUUUUCCAAUAGUUUGUGAAUACAAAGGAUGAUUUGAAAAU